CUCUUCUGGCUCGAAUUUGAUUUCCUUGUCCUGCGCGUGUGUACAACCGCGGAUCAUGUCGUGGGGCCCACCACCUUAUGUCUUCCCCUUCCUCUCUUCUCAUCCACUACUUUCUCUAAUCCAUUCCGGCCGCUCUUAUCCAUUCCUCAAUCCCUUGAGAUAGACAGAGAGCGAGCGAGAGCUCGAGGAGCUAGACAGGCAGAGUGGUGGUAACCUCCUCCACCGCGGAGAGCUCGAGGAGAGUAGCAAGCGGCUGGGACGGAGAUGCACACGAAGGGGCCGCCGACGGCUUGCGGUGUACUCCAACCGCUGGCUACGGUGGCGCAGGCGUCAAUCUAAAGCAUCUCGCCAGCGGCCCGGCGCGGCAAGAUUUAAUGAGCGGGAUCGACAGCAGCUGGUGGACGGUGGUGCUCGACCGACGCGGCGAGCCGGAGCCGAAAUCUCGCGGAAGUGAGGGUGCCAAGGAGGUAUGUGAACCGGAAAUUUCAAUCGACCCUCUUGUCAAGAGGUUAAAUUUAGUUGAAAAAUAAGACAAUUACUUGAAGAAAAAAUUGAAAAUAAUUGAGGAGGAGAAGAUGGAAUUGGAGUUGCAUGUUGCCGAUGUGGUCGAUAAUAACAAGGUCCAGAUGGAUGCAAUGCGCUUGAAGAUUAGAAAGAUUAAAAAAUAUGCCAUUGAUAAUGAGGCUUGGUAUCAUUAUGCCGUUGGAUCAAUUGUUAUCUUAGUUGCAAUUAUGAUCGCAUUUGUUGUUGCAUUUAAAUAUUUUCAUAGUUUUAAUAUAUGUUUUAAUUAGAUGCUCUAGAGAGCUAUAUGUUGUUCUAUGAGAACUAUGUAUGAACUUUAUGUAUUAUUUUCAGUAAUAACAUUUGAUCACUACUGUACUUUGGUUUUAAUGUGAUGAUGAACUUAUAUUAAUUUGAG
rnacentral:rRNA from 1 species